rnacentral:pre_miRNA from 1 species
GGAAGUUAAGAAACUGUUUCUUACCUUUUAACUAAAAAAGUUAAGAACCGGUUCUUAAAGUCCUUAUUUAAGAACCGGUUCUUAGCUUUUUUAGUUAAAAGUUAAGAAACAGUUUCUUAACUUUC